rnacentral:rRNA from 1 species
UAGGGAAUAUUGGUCAAUGGACGAGAGUCUGAACCAGCCAUGCCGCGUGCAGGAAGACGGCKUCUGGGCUUGUAAACUGCUUUUGACAGGGAAGAACAAAGGUUAUGCGUAGCAAACUGACGGUACCUGUAGAAUAAGCACCGGCUAACUCCGUGCCAGCAGCCGCGGUAAUACGGAGGGUGCAAGCGUUGUCCGGAUUUAUUGGGUUUAAAGGGUGMGUAGGUGGCCUUAUAAGUCAGUGGUGAAAUUCUGCAGCUUAACUGUAGGACUGCCAUUGAUACUGUAGGGCUUGAGUGUCGUUGAGGCAGGCGGAAUUUAUGGUGUAGCGGUGAAAUGCAUAGAUACCAUAAAGAACACCGAUAGCGAAGGCAGCUUGCUUAGCGGCAACUGACACUAAUGCACGAAAGCGUGGGUAGCGAACAGGAUUAGAUACCCUGGUAGUCCACGCCGUAAACGAUGAUUACUCGAUGUAUGCGAUACSCUGUAUGCGUCCAAGCGAAAGCGUUAAGGAAUCCACCUGGGGAGUACGCU